rnacentral:lncRNA from 1 species
GGGGUCCAAAAUUAAACUUUGUUUGAUUUCAUCAAAAAUUGAAUAAUUGGGGUUCUUUGAUAUGCCAAAUCUAACUGUGUAUGUAGAUUCUUAAUUUUUGGUCCCGUUUUAAAAAUUGGUUUACAUUAACGUCCAAAGGGUCCAAAAUUAAACUAAGUUUGAUUUUAACAAAAAUUGAAUUAUUGGGCCUCUGUGAUAUGCUGAAUCUAAACAGUACUUAGAUUUUUGAUUAUGGGCCCAGUUUUCAAGUUGGUCCAAAUCAGGAUCCAAAAUUAUUAUAUUAAGUAUUGUGCAAUAGCAAGAAAUUUUCAAAUUGCACAGUAUUCAGCAAUAGCAAGAAAUCUUCAAUUGCACAGUAUUGUGCAAUAGCAAGAAAUCUUCAAUUGCACAGUAUUGUGCAAUAGCAAAUAUUUUCAAUUGCACAGUAUUCCACAAUAGCAAGAAAUAUCUAAUUGCACAAUAUUGUGCAAUAGCAAGAAAUUCCAAUUGCAUUUCAAUUGGAGUUAUCUUUCUUUGUCCAGAAUAGUAGUUGAAUCAACUUAAAUCAUUGUUUUAUACAAUAUACAAUGUAUAUUCACUUUUACUACCAACUGAUAGAUUAAAAAACAAUCUUUACCAUUCAGUGAUAACAAGCACUUUUUUUACAUUUUAAUAUUUUAUGAUGUAUUUAAAUGAGUAGUUAUUGUUGCAAACUUCAUUAGAAAUUUGAAUUGAGAUCAGUUUUGAAAUAAGGGAAAGGGGGAUGUGAAAAAAAAAUUGGAGGGUCAAUUUUUUUCAUUUCAGAUUUCAUAAAUAAAAAGAAAAUUUCUUCAAACAUUUUUUUGAGAGGAUUAAUAUUCAACAGCAUAGUGAAUUGCUCAAAGGCAAACAUUUUUUUUUAAGUUCAUUAGACCACAUUCAUUCUGUGUCAGAAACCUAUGCUGUGUCAACUAUUUAAUCACAAUCCAAAUUUAGAGCUGAAUCCAGCUUGAAUGUUGUGUCCAUACUUGCCCCAACCGUUCAGGGUUCAACCUCUGCGGUCGUAUAAAGCUGCGCCCUGCGGAGCAUCUAGUUUUAAAUUGU